rnacentral:miRNA from 1 species
UUCAGCUCGAGCAGUCUAACAG